rnacentral:rRNA from 1 species
GACAGAGGGUGCAAACGUUGUUCGGAAUUACUGGGCGUAAAGCGCGUGUAGGCGGCCCUGCAAGUCGGAUGUGAAAUCCCACGGCUCAACCGUGGAAGUGCAUUCGAAACUGCAGGGCUAGAGUCCUGGAGAGGAAGGUGGAAUGCUUGGUGUAGAGGUGAAAUUCGUAGAUAUCAAGCGGAACACCUAUUGCGAAGGCAGCUCGCUGGGACGUAACUGACGCUGAGACGCGAAAGCGUGGGGAGCAAACAGG